GAGUUUGAUCGUGGCUCAGGAUGAACGCUGGCGGCGUGCCUAAUACAUGCAAGUCGAGCGGACGGACGAGAAGCUUGCUUCUCUGAUGUUAGCGGCGGACGGGUGAGUAACACGUGGAUAACCUACCUAUAAGACUGGGAUAACUUCGGGAAACCGGAGCUAAUACCGGAUAAUAUUUUGAACCGCAUGGUUCAAAAGUGAAAGACGGUCUUGCUGUCACUUAUAGAUGGAUCCGCGCUGCAUUAGCUAGUUGGUAAGGUAACGGCUUACCAAGGCAACGAUGCAUAGCCGACCUGAGAGGGUGAUCGGCCACACCGGAACUGAGACACGGUCCAGACUCCUACGGGAGGCAGCAGUAGGGAAUCUUCCGCAAUGGGCGAAAGCCUGACGGAGCAACGCCGCGUGAGUGAUGAAGGUCUUCGGAUCGUGAAACUCUGUUAUUAGGGAAGAACAUAUGUGUAAGUAACUGUGCACAUCUUGACGGUACCUAAUCAGAAAGCCACGGCUAACUACGUCG
rnacentral:rRNA from 1 species